rnacentral:piRNA from 1 species
UCCCGAUUGGUUGGCGUUGUCUGCCGCACC